rnacentral:rRNA from 1 species
GACGAACGCUGGCGGCGUGCUUAACACAUGCAAGUCGAACGGUAAGGCCCUUCGGGGUACACGAGUGGCGAACGGGUGAGUAACACGUGGGUGAUCUGCCCUGCACUUCGGGAUAAGCCUGGGAAACUGGGUCUAAUACCGGAUAGGACCACUGCCUGCAUGGGUGGUGGUGGAAAGCUUUUGCGGUGUGGGAUGGGCCCGCGGCCUAUCAGCUUGUUGGUGGGGUGAUGGCCUACCAAGGCGACGACGGGUAGCCGGCCUGAGAGGGUGACCGGCCACACUGGGACUGAGAUACGGCCCAGACUCCUACGGGAGGCAGCGGUGGGGAAUAUUGCACAAUGGGCGCAAGCCUGAUGCAGCGACGCCGCGUGAGGGAUGACGGCCUUCGGGUUGUAAACCUCUUUCAGCACCGACGAAGCGCAAGUGACGGUAGGUGCAGAAGAAGGGCCGGCCAACUACGUGCCAGCAGCCGCCGUAA